rnacentral:lncRNA from 12 species
GGAUUGUGAACCAAACAAUGCAAAUUGCCAGGCAACUCAGUAGCCAUAACACAAGGCAGUGAAUUCUGUAAAUAGUCCAUGGUAUGUCCCACUGUUCCUUCGAGAACUUCUCUUUGGCUCCUAUGUUUGAAAAUCUGUGUUUUGCUCCAUUUAGCGGAAGCUACUUCAGCAUUCAGAGGACACCAUUCCUCACCAGUGUUUAAGAAGCAGUGCUGGCUAUUGGACAGAGAGUCAGCCCCUAUGCUGCACCCAGAAUAGUUUCAGUGGCAGCCUGUUGCCUUUCACGGAGCCCAACUCCCCGACUUUCAAAGAAGAAUGAGAGCACGGAUGGCUUGAGAAUUACCUGGAGAAUUCUAGAGAGAAGAAGCUCUAAGAUAUAAAGUUGUUUUGUAGGUAAGAACUUCCCAGACAGCAGCUAUCAAAGAAGAACUUGGCCAGUGUUUCUGAAUCCUAGACGCGGGCUCAGGAACAGCAAAAAGCUUUGAAAGAAAUGUGACUGGAGGUUUCCUAGAGCUCUUGUUUGUCUGGCAUUGUCAGAAUGCAGAGUCCAGACAGGUGACAUCUGCCCUCUGUAGUCACUGAGGACAGAAUCACAAGAAAUGUACUUUGCCUGUAGUGGGUGGGAUAUGUUUCACUUGAGGAAGCAUUUCCUGAUAUGACAGUGGGUGACCCAAAUCUUUGGUGCUCUGGUUUUGCUUUCCCAAGUAAAUGAAUCUUUUGUAGUUUCUCAAGUGACUACUGCUAGUUUUAUUGUUUCAUUUACUCAAUAGAUAUUUAUUAACAACUAAUAAUAUAUCUGAACCUUACUAGGCCAUGAAGAAGCAGGGACUGGUCAAUGGAACUUCUACCCUUAAGACCCAUGGAGGCUAGUGAAAGAAACAAGUACUUAAGUAAGUACACUUCAGAGUAAUGAUUAUUUCAGCAUUGCAAAUUAUUUUUACAUGAAUUAUGUGUGGUUUUGACUACUUGUCAAGAGUCCUAGGAUCCUUUCACAGCAGCAUUGAGUCCUUACAAAGCAGCAUGUGAGUAUUUUUCUGUAAGAACCAGCUCGACAUGGCCCUACAGAAGUGAGCUUCUGAAGGCAAACACUAAGCAUAGGUUAUCCCUGACUUAUGAUUGUUC